UCUACGGGAGGCAGCAGUGGGGAAUAUUGGGCAAUGGGCGCAAGCCUGACCCAGCAACGCCGCGUGAAGGAAGAAGGCUUUCGGGUUGUAAACUUCUUUUAUGAGGGACGAAACAAAUGACGGUACCUCAUGAAUAAGCCACGGCUAACUACGUGCCAGCAGCCGCGGUAAUACGUAGGUGGCAAGCGUUAUCCGGAUUUACUGGGUGUAAAGGGCGUGUAGGCGGGACUGCAAGUCAGAUGUGAAAAUUAUGGGCUCAACCCAUAACCUGCAUUUGAAACUGUAGUUCUUGAGUGAUGGAGAGG
rnacentral:rRNA from 1 species